UUCCCAAUAGCUCAGGUGGUAGAGCGUGGCACUCCAGGUUGUGGGUUCAAGCCCCACAUUGGGCAA